UACGGAGGGUGCGAGCGUUGUCCGGAAUCAUUGGGCGUAAAGGGCGCGUAGGUGGCCUGGUCAGCGUGCGGUGAAAGCUCGGGGCUCAACCCCGAGUCGGCCGUGCGAACUGCUGGGCUUGAGCACUGUAGAGGCAGGCGGAAUUCCGGGUGUAGCGGUGGAAUGCGUAGAUAUCGGGAGGAACACCUGUGGCGAAAGCGGCUCACUGGACCACAACUGACGCUGAGGCGCGAAAGCUAGGGGAGCAAACAGG
rnacentral:rRNA from 1 species